ACGAUAAGAGGAGAAUUGAGAGAGGGAGGAAUGGCGUUGGAUCGGUGCUGCUUGUUCCUCGAGAUCCUCAUCUCGAUCGCGCUGCCUCCCGUGGGCGUCUUCCUCCACUACGGCUGCUGCAGCGUACAAAUUCCGAUCACAAUCUCUCGGCUUUGUUCCCUGUUUACCCUUCUUAUUGUUCAGCUGAUGUCGAUGCUCUGUCUGUUUCUUUGAUCCGAAGCUGGAAUUCUGCAUCUGUUUGCUGCUGACGGUUUUGGGGUACGUCCCGGGGAUCAUCUACGCCAUCUACGUGCUCGUGGCCGUCGAUCCCGAGCCCUACCGUCGGGGCUACUACCAGCCCCUUGCUUAGGAUGGCUCCAACGCGCAUCCCGGGUCUGUCCAAGAUAAUGGUAACAAGCAAAAAAUCAAAUCAGAUGCUGGUGAUCCUUGUGACCUUACCGACAACAUUGAGAAUCACAUAGUUGAUGCAGGUGCUACGGAUGAUGGUGAAGGGCAUGGAGCAUUUGAAGAUAAAAUUUUGCAUAAGUCAACUAUGAUGAUUACAGUGGGAACGGAAACGAAGACUACUGGAUCAUAAAUAGCAGGUUUGAACUUGUCAGAAGGAAAUAAAAAGGAGAUAUGUUAUUCUAGUACCGAAAGAAGCCUGAAGAGAGAUGGUGUAAGCUAGAACAGUAAAAAAAGGUGAUGGUUUUAUCAUCAGAAAAAGCAAUGUUGAUGAUGACUGCAUGUUACCAGGGAGGGUCUUGAAGCUGUUUGGAUGGAAGACAUUUGAAGGAUUAUUGUUGAAUCUGAUGUUAGAAAUCUAGAACAAAGAGAGACAGAAAAAACCCUCCUUUAUAACUCUUAUCUGAUUGGUCUGGAAUAUUAAAUUUUUUUUUUCUGAAAUCAAAAGUAUAUCAUGUCUUUAAA